rnacentral:lncRNA from 1 species
GGGGGUUAUGAAUAAAGGGGGAAAAGUGAGAUUUGGAAUUAAAUUUACUAUACUAAUAUUUGAAAUCAAAGUACUGACGUACUGAACAUCGGAUGACCGCAAGUUCUUGUGGAUGGUUAAAAGCACAUGUCACAGAAAAGGAUCACAUCUCUAUACCUGAAACUGAGGUUAAUGUACAAAGAUAAUUAUAUUUUUUUCUGAGACAAGUUCGUGCGUGGAUGAUGAAUUAAUGACAGGAAAUUCAACCGCACUG